rnacentral:rRNA from 1 species
UGGGGGAUAUUGCACAAUGGGCGAAAGCCUGAUGCAGCGACGCCGCGUGGGGGAUGAAGGCCUUCGGGUUGUAAACUUCUUUUGCUCUGAACAAGGCAUGCUAAUGGGUGUGUUGAGUGUAGGGGUUGAUUAGCGCCGGCUAACUACGUGCCAGCAGCCGCGGUAAUACGUAGGGCGCGAGCGUUGUCCGGAAUUAUUGGGCGUAAAGGGCUUGUAGGUGGCUGGUUGCGUCGGUCGUGAAAGCUCAUGGCUUAACUGUGGGUUUGCGGUGGGUACGGGCUGGCUUGAGUGCAGUAGGGGAGGCUGGAAUUCCUGGUGUAGCGGUGGAAUGCGCAGAUAUCAGGAGGAAUACCGGUGGCGAAGGCGGGUCUCUGGGCUGUUACUGACACUGAGGAGCGAACGCAUGGGGAGCGAACAGG